GACAGAGGGUGCAAACGUUGUUCGGAAUUACUGGGCGUAAAGCGCGUGUAGGCGGCGUAGCAAGUCGGGCGUGAAAGCCCACGGCUCAACCGUGGAAGAGCACUCGAAACUGCUGCGCUAGAGUUCUGGAGAGGAAGGCAGAAUGCUUGGUGUAGAGGUGAAAUUCGUAGAUAUCAAGCGGAACACCGGUGGCGAAGGCGGCCUUCUGGACAGUGACUGACGCUGAAACGCGAAAGCGUGGGGAGCAAACAGG
rnacentral:rRNA from 1 species